rnacentral:rRNA from 1 species
AUGAAGAGCUCUUCAGUUGCACCAAGCCUGAAACAGGAGCAAGGAGAUGCUAGCAAACUGCAGGAAGGUGUCCUCAACAACCUUGAGCUUAGGCUUGGCAUCUCUUCAGACAAUGGCCUGAGUAGUGGUGGUGGUGGUGCUACUACUCCAUGGCUUGGUGUUGGAGUGCACCCUUGGAGCCUGUCCGCCAGGCAAGACAAGGCGGCCCUGGAACAACCUCAGGAGAGGCCUAAUGAGUGUCCUGCCCACAGAGAAGAUCGCCCUCAACUGGUCGGAUGGCCACCGGUGCGCACAUUCCGCAAGAACCUGUCCGCCACAUCCACAAGGCCUGCAUAUUCUGAAGACCUGAGUAAAGUGGAACACUGCUAUGAAGAAGAAGACCAUGGAAACAUAAACACUGGAGUUGCAGUACAAGAGAGGCCGGCCAUGUUCGUGAAGGUGAACCUGGAAGGGUACGCCGUUGGGAGAAAGAUUGACCUGAAUGCACACCGCGGCUACGGUUCGCUGUCUGGUGCUCUGCAGAGCAUGUUCCAUGGCUUCUUGUCAGAUGGCCACGGGAGGAUUGCAACCAGAGGGGGUGAAGAGCAGCUGGAAUAUCACAAGGGCAAGGGCACGAUGAAGAACUACAUCCUUCUGUACGAGGACAACGAGGGCGACCGCAUGCUCGUCGGCGACGUUCCAUGGGAGCUGUUCGUCGCUUCGGUAAAGAGGCUCUACAUUGCCAGGGACCCUAGAGCUGACAAAAGCAAUAAGAAGUAG